UUGAAAACGAAAAAAAUUCUAGGAUGUAAAAAAAAAAAAAAAAACCCCAAACAUGGCUAAACUCCCAUUUCAAAGCAGUAAAACAGACUGGAGGUGCACAGCAGCCAUCGUCGAGAUCUGUGCAGAUCUGAAUCCGAAUUUGUAUUCUCCCAGGCCGAAAUACCCCAUUCAUCAAUGUCUCCCUAGAUGUUGUGCUCAAAUGAAGUAAAAGGAAGCCCAGCUGCUCUCAACAGGACUAAAGGCAGAAGAGGUGCUCUGAAUGAGAAUGCAGCAUCCAUUUGCAUCCUGGGAAAAAAACUGGGCUCCUCCUCAAGGACUUUCAACAGAACAAGGGCUGCAGAAAUGUAAGUUAAAAUCACUUAUUCUGCUCACGGAUAAUUCAGAAUUUAAGCUGGAGUGACAUCAUGACUACAUACAUGUCAGAAUGGGAGAAGAGGUAAGCAAACCUUAUAUCUUUUGAGAUCUUAGCUUCAGUGUCCAUACAGCUGAAUUUUGUAUAGUUCAAUGUACUAACCUCCAGUGGGAUUUAGGAAGACGGAAUUGGAUGGUCAUAUGGCCAUUACAGUUUUGAUAAUAUAUUUUUAAUAAAAUAAUGAUAUUGGUCUUAGUCUCAGGUGGUAAAAUCAAACAUACUUUUUAUAAUUUUAUUUUUAAUAUAUAAGUGCUGCUGUCUGCUCUUGCAUGAAUGAAUUCAUAUUAAGACAACAGAAUCCACUGAAUCCAUCUCCUUGAAUUCUAAUUGUGCAAAUUAGAAGAGGAGUGUAAAUUCUGCAUAGAAAAUAUUCUGUGCAGUGGGAUUGAAAAUCAACUUGGCAGCCUUUCAUUUCAUUUUAAGAUUACCAGUCAGAGCCACUAAAACAACUUGAAAAGACAAUGACAGAUCCUAAAGGUGAAGGCAAGCUGUAGCUACUGUUCAGUUUAGAACCAUAAUAAUGAGGAAAAACCACAGGGACUAUACAAGUCCUGGAUGUGGAGAGAGUGCUGUUAAACAGCCUUCCGUUCCCUCCUUAGUAAAUAAUAUUCACUGAGUUAUAUUACACAACUAGUGAUUUUGUGUAACUUGAUUUUGGAAACAUUCUGCAUAAUCAUUUGGAAAUUAAUUGGGAUUAAUUGUGUACUCAGAAGUGUUAAGCUUUAAAAGCAAGUUAUGAACCUUUCCCAAACCUCUGGUUUUCAAAUACUGAAUACUCUGUAGCAGCUGUUACAUGUUUGUGUUAUUUACCUAAAGGCAGAUAACAAAAAAAUAUAGUUCAGAGACUAACAAAACGAGACGAUACUACAUCUUUAUUUGCACCUAUCUGUAAAAAUGGAUGUCUGACCACAACUGUACUGUUACCUCUUCUCAUUUUUCCUUAGGACAGAGCAAAACCAUUUCAAGAAGAGAUCUUGACAAAUUCCAGGAGACAGUCCUGUCCUGUUGAAAACACUGCAUUGGAAUAUACCAAGAGACCUUGUGAUAACCAUUACAUUUUAAGAAGGGUUGCUUUUUUCCCAUACAGCAGUUACUGGGAAAUAGUUUUUAGUAGCCUGUAUGUACAGUAUACAGUAACAGAAGAACCCCACUCUUCACUGCACACAGGAAUUUAUUUGAAAAUAACUGUGCUUCCCUAAGUGGGCCCAUCCAACCAUAACCUCGUGAUGUGAUUACAAAGUCAAGAAGCUUGGCAUCAACUCCAGUCUGCCAAUCCAGACGAAAUUUUGAUUUAAUAAGACUGUUGCCCGAACGCCUCUUUGAUGUAUUAAAACACAAGAUCUGACUGACA